GGGCAGCAGAGCCGAGCCCAGGGACACAGCGGGUCCUCAGGGUGGGGCCCACCUGGGAUGGCCGCCUGGACCACCAGUGUGCGAAGCCCCAGCUGCCCUCACAGCACCGUCACUGGAGGACGAGGGGCUGGGUAGGGAGGGACCGGGCAGGGGUGGGCUUGAUGAGGGGCAGGGCCCUGGGGGUGGGGGCUGUCUCAGCUCAGGAAGCACAGUGGGCUCCUCACCCUCAGAGCUCCUCUACUCCGUUUCUCGGACAGGGACCCCCAGGACACCAAGGACCGCCUGGGCCGGACGAAUGCGAGAUUUUGGACAUCAUCAUGAAAAUGUGCUCUUGCUGUGGUGAGACCCAGGCUCUAGCUCCUGAGAGAAUGGAUCCCGGGGGUCGGGGAGCGAGGCCUGGGUCCCACACAUGUCACAGGACAGCACAUGGCACUCUGGUCCCCGCCCGCAGCUCCCUGCACCUGCCCGCCCCCUCUGGGGCCUGCUCCAAGCCAGCAGGG
rnacentral:lncRNA from 1 species